AAACAUUAUUCUUGAUGUCUCUGCAAGACUGUUUUGGGGGUGAAAUUAACAGGCAAGUUGGUGAGCUUUGGUGAAGCAAACAACCUUACAUGAUUUCUGUGGCCCUGCAGACUCCUGACUGAACUAACACAGUUGGGGAGAAUAAGCCGUAAAAAGGGGAGCUUUUCUGUCCUUUCACUUUGCACUGAUGCCCCAUCCAUCCUCCCUUUCUGCUUGCCAUGGUAAAUGGUGUCCGACGUAACACAGAUGCACUGUGCACUGGAGAGGCAGAGCAUCCUGCCUUCCACAGCCGUGCACACCAGUCCCUGUGCACAAGUGGCCACCCACCCAGCGAAUCGACGUGGUGUGCUUAUCAAAAUCUGUGUGUCUGUGGGCCAGAGCCAAAUCCAGGAUAUUGACGGAUGUCCUUACUGGUAAGGCUGUCUGGGACUCUCAGUGAAAAGACCGGCCAUGUGUGCCUCCAGAUGGUACUAGAUCCAGGUGCUAGAACAAGAUGAGCAAGUGAAUCUCUCAUACUUCAGAUCCUUCAAGGAUCUUGAAAAGAGCGCUGGAAUCAAAGGCGAACGCCACCACUGCCCGGCCUUGUUUUGUUUUUAAAGACAGUUUUCGGCACACAGAGAGGCUGUGAGUUAGGACGGGGGUUUCUUGCCGUUGCCACCAUUCUCAUUGACACGUUAUGCUGCACACAGCAGAGCCCCAUCCUGAAUGCCCAGCGGUGCCCACAGCCAGGAGGAGCAUUCGAUGUGUGAUGACUCAUCUCGUGCAUCAGACGCUCUCUAAAGUUCCCACAGAUUAUACCAUGGCUUAGUGAGUGCGAUUCUAAGACAGUUCCAAAAGACUUUUCAAUCCGUGGGAGUUUCAAAGUGGAUUCUCAGACAAACAUGGGGAGGACUGAGGCAGGCUUGGACACGCACAGAAUCAGACAACGAUGGUCCGGAGUUCAAAUCCCUGCAACCACAUGGUGGCUCACAACCAACUGUAAUGAGAUCUGGCGCCCUCUUCUGGAGUGUCUGAAGACAGAUACAGUGUACUUACAUAUAGUAAAUAAAUAAAUCUUAAAAAAAAAAAAAACUGA
rnacentral:lncRNA from 1 species